rnacentral:rRNA from 1 species
UACGUAGGGUGCAAGCGUUGUCCGGAAUUAUUGGGCGUAAAGAGCUCGUAGGCGGUCUGUCGCGUCGGCUGUGAAAACCCGAGGCUCAACCUCGGGCCUGCAGUCGAUACGGGCAAACUAGAGUACUGCAGGGGAGAACGGAAUUCCCGGUGUAGCGGUGAAAUGCGCAGAUAUCGGGAGGAACACCGAUGGCGAAGGCAGGUCUCUGGGCCACUACUGACGCUGAGAAGCGAAAGCAUGGGGAGCGAACAGG